UAUAUAUCUUAAAUCAUAUAUAAUCCACUCAGUCAUUCAAACCUUGUCAGGCUUCCACUGUCUUAACUGUUUCACUGUUUGACAGCAUGUUAUGUUAUUGAUCAAAGAAAUAGCCAGUAUGAUCUCAUCUAUAAGCACUUACAAGGUACUGACAUACGUAAAAUAUGCACAAAAAGAUAUAAAGAAUAUUUAUGUCUUUCUAAAAGUUUUUUAAGUAUGUACAACCACAAAACACAUGACCUGAACGGGUAAAACAAAGGCAUGCUUGUCCAGUGUAAAUAUUUAUUUUACAUAAUUGCGAUCAUGUGGGCAUUGUAUAUAAGCUUUAGUUUUAUGCUAAAGAGAAUAUUGCUCAAGCUUUUUAACAUGAAUUUGUGAGAUUUGAUUGAUUGCUUACUCUUAACUUACUAGCAAGGGGCCAUGUCAUACCAUGGCAAUCUUCCUUUUUUCCUCUUGCGUGUGCAUGCAUUUGAAUGCACGUGUCUUUGGGGGUGAGGGGAGAAAAGAAGGGUGGUAGUUGGUGGCUAAAUCGUGUAAAAGGGUUUUCCUAAUAUGGGCUGUCUCUCCUGAGACUCCUCCUCUUCCCUAUAAGUGGGCAGGACUUUAUACUCUUAUUCAGCCAGUGAUGACACAGCUACAACUCACUUCCCCAUUAAUUGGCUGAAACCAGUUCUUACAGGAACUGUCGGUGAUAAAUGUGAGAGUUCUCAGAAAUCAUUCAUUUCUUCCUUCUUCACAGCUAAGGGACACUCCAGGGCAUUUCUUAAGGACACCCUCAAUUUUUAGAUCAUUUAUUAUGUAUUUUUGUGAUUAUUUUUCUCGAUCCUUUUUUUAAUCUGGUAAAAUUUUCUACCUGGGGAAAUGUUUUAUAUUGCUAAGCUCACAUACUGGAAGAAGUAGAGAAAGGUGUGAAGCCUUUUUUGUCUUCUUAACCUCUGUUACACAGUUUGUCACUUCUCUCUAGAAAGCAUACCUUUAGGUGUUGGAGCCACACGGGCAUGGUUAAAAUGGAGUGGUGAUUGUGGCCUAUUCAGGGUCUGACUCCUGAGGGAUGCUGAGUCAUGCUCAGCAGGUGGAGCUGCUAUGACUGAAGUGUACACUCCCCCGCUUCACUCACAACCCCCACCCUCCAUCCCCCAUCCCCUCAGAGAACCCUGUUGAACUCGAUGCAGGCUGACCUAGACAGGAGGGGCCCCCAGAGGCUGAGAGGGUGGGGGAAUUCUACUCCCAAUUCCUGCCACUAAUAAUCCCUUACAACUCUGUGGAAACAAAGACACUACACCUUUUACCUAACUGCUAUUGUAGGUUGGUCUGCUUUUGACUUCUUCCAUUUUUUAAUCUGAAUCCAUUUCUUUCUUUUAAACUUAACCACCCUACUUCAAAAAGCUUUGGAGCGAAAGUUAUUUAACUGGAAAUAAGAAAUAACAGUUUGUAUCAGAAGCCUUAGGUGUCAAGCUACAAGAAAAAGGAUUGGUUGCGAGAGAGAGAGAGAGAGAGAGAGAGAGAGAGAGGCAGUAAUAGUGGCAGAAAUAUUCAGGGGUUAAAUUAAAAACUUUGUGUGGGUGUUCAUAAAAAGAGUGAGGAAGUGAGUGAGUGUUUGACUCACAUACUACCUUAGUCUGUAUUUCUCUCUUUUUUGAGACAGUUACUUUAGUCACACAGCAGAAGUGCAGGAAGGUAUUGACCAUAAAGGUCAACAGAUUAUGACACCUAGACUCAUAGUCUUAAUAAAUGAAUGUAUAUAAGCAGUGCCUAAUUUAUUAGCAACUUUAUUUAGAAUGACUGGACAUGAUACUUAUAUACUUGAUUACAUGUUUUAUUAAGGGAUCUAAAGUAGAGUAUUUUGUCAUUUUAUACUAUUGACUUCUGAAAUAAGGUUGGUGUUAAACACUGAAACUAUAGCAAGGAUCAAUGAACCAUACUGUAGUUUGAUUUAGUUUUCCGUAGUUAUUGUUUACUUUCCAGAGACUGAGACAUAUAUCAUGUUGGUCAGUCCAGGGCUUCACAACCAAUGCAAAUGCACUAAUAUAUGCAAUCACAUGAAUUUUUGUCAGAUAUUGUGGAUGAGCAGAUGUUGGCUAACCUUUCUUGAGGAGUUUUGUGUCUUAAUACUCCUUCAUCAGAACUGUGCUAUUUGUAUAUUGGAAGCAGAAUACUGAUUAUUGAUGUUAAUGAGAUUGGCUAAUAGUAUGUCUUAAACUGGAAGUAUUUUUUAUGUUUUUCUUUUGGCAAUGUUAGUGUUAUUCAAUCAGUAUUUUCUAAACAAUGUGAAAGAUUUUUGUUUUCUUUUAUGCCUAGUCUUGGUAUGUAUAAUACAGCUUACAUUUAAUGAAAUAUUAUGUCAUAAAUAGAUUUUUUUUGGUCCUUGAUAUAGCAAUGGUUUCUUUCUUUCUUUCUUUCUUUCUUUCUUUCUUUCUUUCUUUCUUUCUUUCUUUCUUUCUUUCUUUCUUUCUUUCUUUCUUUCUUUCAUCAAUGCUUGUAAACUGUUUUCUCCCUCAUCUGUGCUCUUUUGUAAGACUGCCCUGGUAUGCUAGCCUGGAAGCUUCAGGCAUAUAAAAAAAUGGAACAGUGUGGGGUUUCUUUUCUGUUACCUUAGCUGAACCCUAGGCUGAACUCAAUGCACUGUACUGCUGGCAGAAAGGAUAUGAAGAAGAGAGAGAAAGGAGAAACAGGGAAGAAGCUUGAGCGUGUUUAACUAGCAGGCAUGCUCAUCAGUGAAUAGGAAACACAUUUUGAACUGUUAUAACAGGACAUAUUCUGUUACCAAAUAACAGAAUAUGGAUUUUGACAACCACCUCCAUUCUUGUUUUAGUAAGUAUUUUUUCUUUUCUUUCCAUUUUUCUUCAUGUGUGAAAAAGGCAUUUCCAUGCAUCUCUCCCAGUGUGUCAGAUAGCUUAUCAGACUGGUGUUGGCUGUUUCAUUGCAUGGCGACAACAGUCUGUAGGCUGUCUGACAUUUUGGGCUUUUUCAUCCAAAAUUAAAUCUUAUUUGUAAUUUCACAAUUUCUUUUAGUGUUAUUUGUUGUCUUAUCCUUAAACAGUAUUCCAUGGUUCAGUUAAGUCAGCUGACAUUUUCUUUGAAAUUAUAGGACAAGGUAAUACAGUUUUAAUAUGUACAUUGGAAAUUACUGCUAUAUUUUACACAUUUCUACACAUUACACAUCUUUACACACUUUCUUGCAUAGAGAGAGAGAGAUAAUGGUUGUAGGGGUGGGGUGGGGUUUUGGGUAGAUCUAGAUCUUUCCUUCAUCUACUUAGGUUUCCUACAAAUCUAGAGCACACCUUAUUGCAACAUACAGUUUUAUGACACACUUUUGCUGUCUGCUUUUCCCUCCCCUCUCUGUUUAUUGCCUUAAUGAAUACUUUUUUCUUGGGUCUGCAAUAAUGUCUUCAUUCACAGGCAUAUAGUCUUUUUUUCUUUUGUUUUUUUUAAUCUGGUUGGCAUGCAGAAAAUGUAUGUUUUUCUAGUUUUAACCCCCUUGCUUUGGUGUAUUACUAUAUAUAUGAUUUUAAUUCUGUGAAUAAGUAAAAUAAAUAAGUUUGUUUUAAUA